UCGAGAAAUCUUCACAAUGUGCGAAAGCACGAUGAGGGAAUCCCAAGUGCUAGCACGUAAGUGUUAGCUGUUUCUUAGUCUAAAAAACUGAGAGAGUAAGGGCUGGGUAAGACGGGUGCCAGCCGCCGCGGUAAUACCCGCAGCUCAAGUGGUGGCCGCUAUUAUUGGGCCUAAAACGUCCGUAGCCUGUUUAGUAAAUGCUUGGGUAAAUUGUGUAGCUUAACUAUACGAAUACCGGGUAGACUGCUAAACUUGGGACCGGGAGAGGCUAGAGGUACUCCUGGGGUAGAG
rnacentral:rRNA from 1 species